rnacentral:rRNA from 1 species
AGAGUUUGAUCCUGGCUCAGAAGGAACGCUGGCAGCGUGCAUAACACAUGCAAGUCGAACGAUGAAGCAUUCUUCGGAAUGUGGAAGAGUGGCGAACGGGUGAGGAACACGUAAGAAUCUGCCCCUCGGUCGGGGACAACUUUUGGAAACGAAAGCUAAUACCCGAUACGCUGUGGAGUGAAAGAAUUUCGCCGAGGGAUGAUCUUGCGUCUGAUUAGCUAGUUGGUGCGGUAAUGGCGCACCAAGGCGACGAUCAGUAGCUGGUCUGAGAGGAUGAUCAGCCACACUGGGACUGAGACACGGCCCAGACUCCUACGGGAGGCAGCAGUGGGGAAUUUUCCGCAAUGGGCGAAAGCCUGACGGAGCAACGCCGCGUGAGGGAUGAAGGCCUCUGGGCUGUAAACCUCUUUUAUCAAGGAAGAAGAUCUGACGGUACUUGAUGAAUAAGCCACGGCUAAUUCCGUGCCAGCAGCCGCGGUAAUACGGGAGUGGCAAGCGUUAUCCGGAAUUAUUGGGCGUAAAGCGUCCGCAGGCGGCCCUUCAAGUCUGCUGUUAAAAAGUGGAGCUUAACUCCAUCAUGGCAGUGGAAACUGAGGGGCUUGAGUGUGGUAGGGGCAGAGGGAAUUCCCGGUGUAGCGGUGAAAUGCGUAGAUAUCGGGAAGAACACCAGUGGCGAAGGCGCUCUGCUGGGCCAUCACUGACGCUCAUGGACGAAAGCCAGGGGAGCGAAAGGGAUUAGAUACCCCUGUAGUCCUGGCCGUAAACGAUGAACACUAGGUGUCGGGGGAAUCGACCCCCUCGGUGUCGUAGCCAACGCGUUAAGUGUUCCGCCUGGGGAGUACGCACGCAAGUGUGAAACUCAAAGGAAUUGACGGGGGCCCGCACAAGCGGUGGAGUAUGUGGUUUAAUUCGAUGCAACGCGAAGAACCUUACCAGGGUUUGACAUCCUGCGAAUCUCUUGGAAACGAGAGAGUGCCUUCGGGAGCGCAGUGACAGGUGGUGCAUGGCUGUCGUCAGCUCGUGUCGUGAGAUGUUGGGUUAAGUCCCGCAACGAGCGCAACCCACGUCUUUAGUUGCCAGCAUUUAGUUGGGCACUCUAGAGAGACCGCCGGUGAUAAACCGGAGGAAGGUGUGGAUGACGUCAAGUCAUCAUGCCCCUUACAUCCUGGGCUACACACGUACUACAAUGCUACGGACAAAGGGCAGCAAGUUCGCGAGGACAAGCAAAUCCCAUAAACCGUGGCUCAGUUCAGAUCGUAGGCUGCAACUCGCCUACGUGAAGGAGGAAUCGCUAGUAAUCGCAGGUCAGCAUACUGCGGUGAAUACGUUCCCGGGCCUUGUACACACCGCCCGUCACACCAUGGAAGUUGGCCACGCCCGAAGCCGUUACUCCAACCCUUGUGGAGGAGGACGUCGAAGGUGGGGCUGAUGACUGGGGUGAAGUCGUAACAAGGUAACC